rnacentral:misc_RNA from 1 species
GAAAUGCGAUAAUUAAUGUGAAUUGCAGAAUUCAGUGAAUCAUCGAGUCUUUGAACGCACAUUGCGCCCCCUGGUAUUCCGGGGGGCAUGCCUGUCCGAGCGUCAUUGCUGCCCUCAAGCACGGCUUGUGUGUUGGGCUUCCGUCCCUGGCAACGGGGACGGGCCCAAAAGGCAGUGGCGGCACCAUGUCUGGUCCUCGAGCGUAUGGGGCUUUGUCACCCGCUCCCGUAGGACCAGCUGGCAGCUAGCCUCGCAACCAAUCUUUUUAACCAGGUUGACCUCGGAUCAGGUAGGGAUACCCGCUGAACUUAAGC